UCAUAGUGUCACGCCCCGAUCCUCAGGUACGCACACAUCCUUCUACUUGGUCGAUUUUAUAAUGCGAUAUCCCAGGACUAUGUAUCGCCGACCCUUUCAUUCUUAUUAGCACAUGCAAAAGCAGUUAUAAAUCCCCAGACAAUAAAACGAUAUGAUAGAAAAGUAAGGCCAUAUUUUUCAUAUUGAAAUUUACAACCAUACUUUUAUACAGAGCAUAACUCAAAGUAUUUCACAAACUGUUCACGACUUUCUAAUUUCACUCCAUUUUACAUAUGAACACUGAUCACAAAAGGGGAUGGGAUCUCAGUCCUCAUCCGGGUCAUAUUCAGGAUCAUCCUGAUCCUCUUCUAACUUAUCUUCACUAAGCUCAUUCCCUUCGAGCUCUUCAUCUUUUUCUGGCUCAUUGUCAUCUUUUGGCUCCUCCUCCUCAGUCUCAUCUACGAGCCUGAAAUGUUGUCCCACAACCGGGAUGAGACUACGUCUCAGCAAGCUCUACCACACUAAGGCCUGAUUAGUAAACCAUUAUACUAUAGGCUGCCUAAACACGCACAGGUCAGAGGACUUACCUUGGUCUCAUAUCCCACCUGCAAGUCAGUACAAUUCAUAAUAGGCAUCCACUUACUUAAACAAAUCGAACUAGUCGAUUACAUGUCACCCAAAUCAUUCCCCACGGUGGAAUAUCUAGAAGUUAGGCCACGUGCAUUCUCCAGGACGACAUCCCAAGUCUCUGAGCCACGUGCCUCAAACCUUGGGCCCACUUGCAUUCUCUAAGGCGACCUCUUCGCCAAGGUGGUACAUCAAGUCACCAAGCCACAUGCCCUUUUAGAUGCCAUUCUCGAAUACUAGACCCACGUGCAUUCUCUAAGGUACUAGUUCACCAAAGUGACGCAUCAGAUCACCGAGCCACGUGUCCUUUUAGAUGCCAUUCCGGAACGUUGGGCCACGUGCAUUCUCUAAGGCACUAGUUCACCAAAGUGACGCAUCAGAUCACCGAGCCACGUGCCCUUUUAGAUGCCAUUCCGGAACGUUGGGCCACGUGCAUUCUCUAAAGCACUAGUUCACCAAAGUGACGCAUUAGAUCACCGAGCCACGUGCCCUUUUAGAUGCCAAUACUCAAUCGUUGGACCCACAUGCAUUCUCUAAGGUAUUAGUUCACCAAAGUGACGCAUCAGAUCACCGAGCCACGUGUCCUUUUAGAUGUCAAUACUUAAUCACCAAGCCAACAUACCCUUCUCCAGGUGAUUUACUUUCUACCAUGAUUCCACUAUGAAACAAUGCCUUUCUCUAUAGUUCGCCAAUCCACUAUCAACACCCAAUUAAUUCCCAAUCGAAUAAUCAAAUAAACUCAAUAGGAAUAUAUCAUAAAAUUCACAAUUUAAAUCAAUUCCAUACAUAUUGAAGCUCAAUUAAAUAAAUAGACUGCACCAUGACGAUCAGUACAAAAUUCCGAUCACCGGCCAUCCCGGUUGAAUUUCCGAAAAAAUAAAUAAAUAAUUAAUUAAUUUCAAAGACUAAUAAUUAAUUACUAAAAAUCCAAUUUAUGCUCGUAUUACCUAAUUGAAGCCCGCUAAGGGUCGGGAAAAAUCCCGGGAUACAUUCAAUAAAUAGUAGACUAUGUUUACUUGCUAAUUGCACAAUCAAAAUGUCUAAUAUGCAUCAUGAUUGUCUAAUAAUUACUAAUCUAAUCUAAUCUAACACCUAAAUUGCACUUAAAUAAAUAUAAUCAACCCCUAAGCAUAAUUAGCAAACUAAGUAGGGAUUAGUGAGAUUACUCACUUGAUUUGCAAAGAACGGAACACCGCGACGGCGGCCGAACUUGGACCCGCGACAAACUUGGACCGGGCCAAUAAACUUUACAAGCCCACAGAAAUUUAUGGGCUUGGGCCUGCUGGAAUUCUUGGGCUGAACUUGAUCUGGGCUUCAAGACUGGGCUGAAAUGGGCUUGAAACAAAGCUGAACUGGGCCUGUCUUUGCUGAAGCUGGGCCAGGCUUCAAGUGGCUGAAUUGCUGGACUUUUGGGCCCAACUAGACUUAAAUUCGCUGGGCUUGAGGAUUGCUGGAGAUGGGCCGGCUUGUUGGGCUCGUGGACUUGCUGCACUUGUGGGUUCGGUGGCCCAAAGGAGCUGCUUACACGUGCUGGGCCCCGAACAGGAAGACAGAAGCAGCUUCGGGCGAUGGCGCAAGAGGAAGGGUCUUCGGUCACAGAUGGUGGAGAGUGCAGAGGAGAUUUCGUUCGGUGGAAGCUGGCUGUCUUUGCUGGCAGCAACGAAAUGAAGUGGAGCUGCAGGUUUGUGAGGAGGAAUUUGUGGGCUGAGGCGUGAGUGGCCGACAGGGUCAACAAACGGCAAAGAGCAGCUUCGGUUGACCUGGACGCGUGAAGAUGGAGCAGCUUCGUGAGACGGGGGCUGAGCGGAGAGAGAGAGAGGGCUUCGGUUCAAGAAUUCGGUGGCAGAGGAGCUGCAGGUGAGAUGGCUUCGCUGGCGUGGGGCUUGCGGUCAAUUGACCGGUGGAAGACGCCUGGCAGAAGACACGGAUGGAGAAGCAGCUUCGGUUUCUCUCUUCCGCUGGCUGUGGUGGUCGAAUGGAGAGGUAGAGGAGAGAGAGUGUGGAUGAAAGUAUCGGUCAAAGAAAGCAGAAAAAUGAGAUAAGCUUUGACUAAAAUCAAAGCAACCGAGAGGUGGGGAAAUAGGAUACGACAGGGGGAGGGAGAUGUCGGUGUGGGGCUGUUCCGCACGAGAGAGAGAGAGA
rnacentral:lncRNA from 1 species